GUGAACGCUGGCGGUAGGCCUAACACAUGCAAGUCGAACGGCAGCACAGUAAGAGCUUGCUCUUACGGGUGGCGAGUGGCGGACGGGUGAGGAAUACAUCGGAAUCUACUUUUUCGUGGGGGAUAACGUAGGGAAACUUACGCUAAUACCGCAUACGACCUACGGGUGAAAGCAGGGGAUCUUCGGACCUUGCGCGAUUGAAUGAGCCGAUGUCGGAUUAGCUAGUUGGCGGGGUAAAGGCCCACCAAGGCGACGAUCCGUAGCUGGUCUGAGAGGAUGAUCAGCCACACUGGAACUGAGACACGGUCCAGACUCCUACGGGAGGCAGCAGUGGGGAAUAUUGGACAAUGGGCGCAAGCCUGAUCCAGCCAUACCGCGUGGGUGAAGAAGGCCUUCGGGUUGUAAAGCCCUUUUGUUGGGAAAGAAAAGCAGCGGGUUAAUACCCCGCUGUUCUGACGGUACCCAAAGAAUAAGCACCGGCUAACUUCGUG
rnacentral:rRNA from 1 species